rnacentral:sRNA from 1 species
CCUUUUGUAGGCUUGAAUAUAACUCUCAAGAAUUGAAUUACAUUUAGUUCUUGGAUUUAAGGAUUGGCUUCCAGAAAACUCUCCUUUGUAUUUCCAGCCUAUGUUUUUAUCAAUUUACACCCCACUAGUAUGUCUUAGAAUGUUUAUUAUUUCGCCUUUCUUUUGAUCGGCUUUAAAACUUAUACAACUUUCAACAACGGAUCUCUUGGCUCUCGCAUCCAUGAAGAACGCAGCGAAAUGCGAUAAGUAAUGUGAAUUGCAGAAUUCAGUGAAUCAUCGAAUCUUUGAACGCACCUUGCGCUCCUUGGUAUUCCGAGGAGCAUGCCUGUUUGAGUGUCAUUAAAUUCUCAAUCCUUUCUGGGUUUAUUCUCAGCUAGGGUUGGAUAUGGGGGUUUUGCCGGUUUUGCAAAAGCAAAGUCAGCUCUCCUGAAAGUCAUUAGCAAGACUCUUGUUGCAACUGUCUAUCUGGUGUGAUAAUUAUCUACAUCAUAGAUUGUAUGCAGUUUACUAUGUCUAGCUUCUAACAGUCCAUUGAAUUGGACAAAACUCUGACAAUUUGACCUCAAAUCAGGUAG